UGGCCGGCGUGCCUGUCUCGGCGCCCAGGGGCGCGCGGCGGAGGCGGGACUUCCGGCUGGCGCCGCCUGCGAAGGGCUCGGCGGCCGGCGGAGACGCGGGUGGCCGGCGAUGGCCGCGGUGGGGGCCGGCUGGGGCCCAGCCCACGGAGGCCGGCGGAAGGCGGUGGCCGAAGAGCCGCGCCCCUUGUGGAGCGCAUGCUGUGUGACCCGCGCCUGUCUUUCCCGCCGCCGCCCCGCCAGGGCCCAUCUCAGGUUCGACUGGCUACGUUUCAAGAGCUCAGCAACCACGUGGCUCCUGCAUUGGACCCUGCAAUGCUAGCUAGGGAGACAGGAAAGAAAUGAAGCGGAUUCCGCAUCAAGUGGUGGAGAGAGUGUACCCGGUGUAGGUGCUCAGCCCUGGGGAUACAACAGUGACUAUGCUAGAACGGGGAUCUGCCCUCACGGAAGUCCCAGUCAACCUGUGGGUACAGGCGUAAGAGGUCAACUCCAACAUCGACUGGGUGUGCAACCUUGGUGAAAGGCAGGUGGCAGCACCUGCUCAGGGACACAAGGGGAGCGGGCACUGGGCAGAGCACGUGGCGCCGUUAACGCCCCAAAGAGCAGCACGGCCCCGCUUCUCGUCUGAAAACCGCGACUCCUCGACCGCCACCACCUGAGAUAACGUGGGUCACUGACCUGGACGAGCUUGGCAAGUUUUGUUUUCCAGAACGAUCUCUCUGCAUCUGACUGACCUGUAAGCAUUCCACUGCAAGAACAGCACUGGACGCUUUAUCUCUCAUCAGGUCAAAGGCUAGGAAAGGCCCUGUAGCUCUGGCUCCCGGGGUCACGGAGUGGCCUGGCCUCCCCUCCUGUCCUGGAGUAUCGCCCAUAGCGAUCGCUUUCACUUCCAGGUGUGUGCACUCGGUCACCCGCGUUCCUACAGUGACUUGAGUAGCCACUCUCACUUUUGUUUUUCAUUUUUAAGAUUUCUGAUUUUUCCUUUCUGUGCCAAACAAGGUCUCUCGCUUUGCCUGUAAAUGUUUCACAUGUAUUUGUUGGGUUUUCUGUAGUGAUUUUUGUGAAUGUUUCUUUUCUUUUUUUUUUUUAAAUGUUUGUUUAUUUUUGAGAGAGAGAAUGUGAGUGGGUUAAGGGCAGAGAGAGAGGGAGACACAGAAUCCGAAGCAGGCUCCAGGCUCCGAGCUGUCAGCACAGAGCCUGAUGCGGGCCUCAAACUCGUGAGCUGUGAGAUCAUGACCUGAGCCAAAGCCAAACGCUUAACCGACCGAGCCACCCAGGCACCCCUCUUUUAUUUCUUUAAUAUUUCUUAAUGUUUAUUUAUUUAAAAAAAAUUUUAAUGUUUAUUUUUGGAGAGAGAGCACUAGCAGGGGAGGGGCAGAGAGAGAGCAAGACACAGAAUCUGAAGCAGGCUUCAGGCUCUGAGCUGUCAUCACAGAGCCUGACACAGGGCUCAAACCCACGAACCACGAGAUAUGUGAAUAUGUGUGUGUGUGUGUGUGUAUAUAUAUAUAUAUACAUAUACAUAUAUAUAUAUAUAUUACUUAUUUAUUUUGAAAGAGAGGGAAGGAGGGGCAGCGAGAGAGGGAGAGAGAACCCCAAACAGGCUCCGUGCCAUCAGCACAGAGCCCAGUGCAAGGCUCGAUCCCAUGAACCAUAGGGUCAAGAUCUGAGCCGAAAUCAAGUCAGAUGCUUAACCAACUGAGCCACCCAGGCGCCCCUACGAACAUGGUUUCCACGCUCUUGGGUGUACAGCCAGCAGUGGACGGCUGGGUCACAUGGUAACGCUAUGUUUAACUUUGUAAGAAACCACCAGGCUGGCUUCCCUGAUCUUGUCUUUAUAAAUGAGCUGGAGACUUAGUGCUCGCGAGUCACUGGCAGGGAGGUAGCCUCUGCGAUGCUUCUCCAGCCUCGUUCUUCCUCCAGCCCACAGGGAGCAGGCCAGGGACUCACGUACUCGCCGCAGUCCACGUGCACGGUGCCUCCCACCCGCCCCUGACAAGCUGGGCAGGAGCACCAAAGGAUGGAUGUUUCUGUUACCAGGUUCUGCCCCCCCCCCCCCAACACCCACACUGCCUGUAUCAUAAAAAAUCUUCAAACCUCCCAGCUCCCCAGACAAAAUACCCAAAGCACACCCAGCAGCCGUUCUCGGAGCGCUCCGGGC